CUAUGCUAUACCAUCCAGCUGGAGUUCUCUGGGACAGGCUACAGUUUUUAUAGUGUUAUGCAAUGUUAUGAUGUGUCAUCAAGCUGGUUCAUAACAGUUUUUAUAGGGUUAUGCUAUGUUAUGAUGUGUCAUCAAGCUGGUUCAUGACAUUUUUUAUAGGGUUAUGAUGUGUCAUCAAGCUGGUUCAUAACAGUUUUUAUAGGGUUAUGAUGUGUCAUCAAGCUGGUUCAUAACAGUUUUUAUAGGGUUAUGAUGUGUCAUCAAGCUGGUUCAUAACAGUUUUUAUAGGGUUAUGAUGUGUCAUCAAGCUGGUUCAUGACAGUUUUUAUAGGGUUAUGCUAUGUUAUGCUGUGUUAUGUCAUUCGGCUUGAGUUAUCUGAUACUGUUA
ensembl:lncRNA